AUUUUUAUUUAUGCAUUUGUAUAUGUUAAUAUUUAUACAGUUUUUUUUUUUUUUUGAGCAACUGGGAUGGUGCCCCCCUGGGAGUUGGAGCCCUAUGCAAACUGCGUACUCUGCAUAUAGAAAGCGGCGAUACUGAAAGCUUGCAUUUGGAUCUAUAAUCGUUGUCACAUCAAGUCCUCAUUACAGAAGACUUCACCUAUCACAGUUCCGGCAGCUUUAUAAAACACCAGAUCACCAUGGAUCCAGCAUCACGCCUCAUUCGCCUCUGUCAAGGGUCUGUUCACUUAAGGCCUGCCAAGCCACAGUCUGCUCACGUCAUGCCUGCCAAACCAAAGCCUGUUCACGUCAUGCCUGCCAAGCCACAGCCUGCACACAUCCACUCUGUCAAGCCAAACCUUGUUCACAACAUGUCUGCCAAAGCCAGGGCCUGUUCACAAAAUGGCUGCUGAGCCAAGGACUGUUUACAAAAUGGCUGCCAUUCAAGAGACCGUUCACAAAAUGGCUACCAAUCCAAAAACUGUUUACAAAAUGGUUCCCACAUGAGAAACUGUUCAAAAGAUGGCCGACACUCAAGAGCCUGUUCACAAGAUGGCAACCAUGCCUGAGUGUCACCACAGCCACCAUCCCAGAGCCUCUUAACACCACAGUCGCCAUGCCAGAGUCUCUUCACACCUCCGCUGAUCUUCCAGAGUCUCGUCACGUCUCAGCUGAUCUUCCAGAGUCCCGUCACAUCUUGGCUGAUCUUCCAGAGUCUCGUCACAUCUCGGCUGAUCUUCCAGAGUCUCGUCACGUCUCAGCUGAUCUUCCAGAGUCUCGUCACGUCUCGGCUGAUCUUCCAGAGACUCGUCACGUCUCGGCUGAUCUUCCAGAGUCACGUCCUGUUGCGGUUGUGUUACCGCAACCCCCCACAGUCCUGUCAAUAGAACCUAUCAUUAAGCGUUACAGGUUGGCAUCCAGCAUGGAGGAUCCACCACUGGAGUCAACACGACAACAUAUAUGCCUAAACUACUCACUCUAGCACUCCUGUUCCUGAACUGAUUCCCCUGUCUGCAGCACUUCCCAUAAUGGGGGUUGCUUUAUGAGUUGUUUGGGGUGCAUACACUACCAAUGAAACUCCCAAGGUGAUGACGCCUGCUGCAGUUUCUCCAGGGUUGGCAGUGCAUGCUGCAGAACCUCCCGAUGCAGUGGCGCUCGCUUCAGCUUCUUGCACAGUGGUGGCACCCAGCAAUGCACUCCCAGCCUGUCUUGUCACAGCCACGGAGGCUGCCUAUGUACUCUUGUCCUGUCCUGAACUGGCUAUGGAGGCCAUCUACGAACUCUCAUCCUGUCCUGAACUGACCAUGGAGGUCGUCUAUGAAUUUGUGUUCUGUCUCAACCCAGCCACAGAGGCCGUCUGUGAACUCUAUGACUGUCCAGUUGCCUCUAAGGAGGCUGCCCAUGAACUCACUGUGUGUCCAGCCUCAAGGACUGAUCCUGGUUGUCUGAGCAUCCAGCCUUGGCCCUUGGAGUCUUGAAUAAAUGGUUUAUGUUUUAUGUUUCAGUGUCUCCGAUGCCUUAGUCUCUGCCAUGGCUUACUUAUCCAUCUGCUCUGCCGUGGUGGACCUCUGCCUUGCUCUGGUGGUCCUCUGCUCCGCCUUGGCUUCCUGCUCCACCAGCUCUGCCUCACUCCCCAGGUCCUCCAUGGUCCAUGGUCUGCCAUUGCUCCAUGGCCCUGGUCCUCCAGUGUUUCACUGUCUGCCACUGCUCCAUGGUCCAGGUCCACCACUGUUCCACAGUCUAGACCUGCCUCUGCUUCAUGGCCCAGGUCCUCCAGUGUUUUUCGGUCC
ensembl:lncRNA